GGGUGCUCUGGAUCUUUCUGUCCCGAGCAUGAGCGUUUAUUAUUAGAUAAUUGUGCCUGUGGCAGAAAGAGAAAGACCCCGAGUUAAUGUUAAUCAACCGAGGUCUAUCUGCAUGC
rnacentral:antisense_RNA from 1 species